GAUUUGAGUAUCGUAAGA
rnacentral:rRNA from 1 species